GAUGAACGCUGGCGGCGUGCCUAACACAUGCAAGUCGAACGAGACUGAAUCAACGAAGCUUCGGCAGAGGAGAGGAAAGUCGAGUGGCGGACGGGUGAGUAACACGUGGGUAACCUGCCUUAUAGAGGGGGAUAACAGAGAGAAAUCUCCGCUAAUACCGCAUAAGCACACACUGCCGCAUGGCAGAGGGUGAAAAGAUUUUAUCGCUAUAAGAUGGACCCGCGUCUGAUUAGCCAGUUGGCAGGGUAAAAGCCUACCAAAGCAACGAUCAGUAGCCGACCUGGGAGGGUGACCGGCCACAUUGGGACUGAGACACGGCCCAAACUCCUACGGGAGGCAGCAGUGGGGGAUAUUGCACAAUGGAGGAAACUCUGAUGCAGCGACGCCGCGUGAGUGAAGAAGUAUUUCGGUAUGUAAAGCUCUAUCAGCAGGGAAGAAAAUGACAGUACCUGACUAAGAAGCCCCGGCUAACUACGUG
rnacentral:rRNA from 1 species